GAAGUUUUCUGCUCCUGUCCUGUACUGGUUUUCACUAAGCCAACUGUGAGAUUUCUUUGUUGCAAUAUUGGGGUCUGAGAUAACACUGCUGGAGGCUGGAGGCAAGAAACAUAGCCGAAACCAUCUUUUAGUGUGUGCUGUUAUUUACUAGCGCUGUGAACCAAGGAAGCGAAAAAACAAAGAGCCCGAAGACUGCACAGUUCCAGCUUGUAGGCCCUGGAGACAGUCUGGAGUCCUCAGACGGACAGAAAGAAGACAUCAGAAGGGCAACCUGUGGUGCCUGUGGCUGCUGAGUACAGGCGUGGGUGACUGAUUUUUAAGAAAUCGGCAACACGGAAGCUGAUUAUAAAAUAUUCAUAAGAAGCUGGCUUUUACAGGUUAAUCCCCAGGACAACAUUGCUUUGAAAGAAAAAAUGUGUGAGCCAUCUUGAAGAUUUGGACUCCAGAGGCCUCUAUGUGUCCUGCCUCUGCUAGACCCAGACAACAGACUCAAGGUGAUAGAUGUUCACAGAGAAAGUAGGAGGGUAGACCUGAAGCUUUCUUCUUUGUACACACUGACACAAGACUGCUGCUGCAUUGAUUCUUGAGCAAGGCGAACAAUGGAAGAAAGCCACUUUUUGUUGUUAAAGUGAGGUAGCAUUUCUGCUGUAGUUAGAAAGAGCAUUGUCUCUCCAGUGUCCCAAAUCACUUCCAUUAAACAGUCAAUGUGAUAACUGUCUGUGACAUGUUCUAUUAUCUUUCUAGUUGUUCUGAUGUUCCUUUCAGCUGGUCCUAUAGCCCCCUUUCUCAGUAAUGUCUCCCCAGUGAAAGGAAAAAGACUGCAGAGGCUUCAGACUGACGGACGCUCAUGCCAACUGUGAAGUUGAAACAAAGCCAGUGACCAGCUGAAGAGGCCCCUCCUGCCCAGCAGCCACCCACAUGGUGCAGUUGCAGCCAGUAGUAAUCUUUGCAAGAAGCAGAGAAGCCCAGAACACUCAUGAGUCAAAACCAUGCCCUUCCUUGUGUGUAUCCCUGUCUCGUUCAGAUUGAUGCUCCUUCCAUUUGGAUCCUGGUAUGAAUAUGCUUGUUACUGUACGAGUGUAAAAAGCUUUGCCCAAAUGUGUUAAUGUAUGAAGAGACUGGAUUUUUUUUGGGGGGGGGAGAGAGUUAUUUUUAUCAAAACACAGUGUUCGUUCUUGAGAGUGAUCUAGAAAAUAAAAAGCAGUUGGAAAA
rnacentral:lncRNA from 1 species